CAGUAGCCGCGGUAAUACGAAGGGGGCUAGCGUUGUUCGGAUUUACUGGGCGUAAAGCGCACGUAGGCGGAUCGAUCAGUCAGGGGUGAAAUCCCAGAGCUCAACUCUGGAACUGCCUUUGAUACUGUCGAUCUGGAGUAUGGAAGAGGUGAGUGGAAUUCCGAGUGUAGAGGUGAAAUUCGUAGAUAUUCGGAGGAACACCAGUGGCGAAGGCGGCUCACUGGUCCAUUACUGACGCUGAGGUGCGAAAGCGUGGGGAGCAAACAGGAUUAGAUACCCGAGUAGUCCCUGUCUCUUAUAC
rnacentral:rRNA from 1 species